GUACCUAAUACUAUUAAUAUCAUUCCUGGACAGCUGGGUGAGCAAAUCGAACGCACCGUCUCUACAACCUGCAAUAAUCUGUGUACGGGGCUCCGCACCCUACGUGAUGUUCCUAAAGUGAGUAUCUUUUCUUAGCUGUUUUAGUCAAUAUGUUGUUAUCCCGCAUUUAGGCAGUUAUUUAUUUAGGCCUGUGUUUGAUACUUUGUUGCAACGGGUAGCUAUCUGCUGACGUGUCACUCCAUUUACAAACUUUUAUCCUCAUCCUGUUACGACACGUUGUUUUGUUGUGCUAAUAUGUAGCCGUAAACUCAUUGGUGUCUGUAGGAGCUGCAGCCCUGCACACAUAUCAGGACACUUUUCAAGAACAGCUGAGAGGUGUAGGCUACUACUAAGCGAGAGGUCAGCUAUGGAUACUCGGCUGUGAGAAUUUUUGAUGGAGCGAAACUUGAAGAUGAGAAUAUUGAUGAAACUGUCAUUCCGUUAAUGACAGACAGUGACCUGGCAAAGUACAUCCCCAAAGUUGGAGAUAGAUUCUCCACUGUGGCUUUCUGCUGACAAGAAUCACUUACACAAAACUCACAAUCCAGGAAAGAAUCCAUACUCUCAAGGCUACGACAAAGACUGUCUGGAGCUGAGGGGAUGCCACCAAAAAAGAGAACAUCUAAGUGGGCAGGAAAUACAAAUGCCAAACGGAAGGUGAGACGAACUGAGGUUGGCUGGAUGGAUUUUUAUGAGGAGGAGCAGAGGUUCAAACAGGUGAAGUCUGUAAGUGGUGGAGGGACGAGGCAUCUCUCGAUUGACAAAGACGAAACAGUGGCAAAUAUCAAACUUAUGGCUGAAAAUCUUUUUUUCCCCAAAGGCCUUUCAAAAAAAAGCAGAAGUCUUUCACACUUCAACUCAUAUUGAGAGCUCACAGAUACAUGUUGAUAUGUCCAAUACAGUAGACCAGUUGUAUAAUCAAAGCAAGGUCAAAAUUCUGCGACUUUAUCUGUGCACCAAAAAGAAAACAGGACAGCAGCCCUCAGGAGUUGAGGUGAUCACACAUCAAGCCAGCCUUCAGUGGUAGAUCUCACUAACAAUGAACAGAAUCAGGCUGGUGAGGAUCUGUUGGUAGAAAACAGAAAUUCAGAAUCAUCAAACCACUAUGGAAUUAAUGAUGGAGCUUCCAGAAGUGAAGAUUUGGAACUGAACGACAUAUUACCAUGGGAUGGUCUGCCAACUGUGGGCGAAAGUGAAGAUUCUGAAGUUUUUAUUAUAAGUGGGGAUGACAGGCUGGAUGUAAGUGUGGAUGAACCAAACCUUGAAACACUCUUUCCAGAAAAAGAGGAUGAUGCACCUCAUCAAACUGUGGAUCUGUCAGCGGUGCAUGCAGGGGAGGCCAAUGUUCCAGCCCAAGCACUUCCUGAACCACAAUCUUGUCCUGUAACGCUGAUUGUAAGAAGAGGACACUGUCUCGCUGACUUGAUCAGUGCCUUCAAGGACCUAAACAUUAUUGCAUCUGAGGUCAACAUCAAAAUGCGUUUACCAAAUGGAGAGCUUGAAAAGGGGGAAGGAAGUGGUGUUUUGCGAGACUGCCUGACAGAAUUUUGGAUGGAUUUCUAUGACAGCUGCACACUGGGAGUUGAGGUGAAAGUCCCCUUCAUCAGGCAUGACUUUCAGUGUGAAGAAUGGCAGGCUGUAGCUCGAGUGUUUGUAGUAGGGUGGAAACAAGCUGGUUACUUCCCAGUGAAGCUUGCAGUGCCAUUUCUGGAAGAGGUGCUGUAUGGCUCGACAGCCAGUAGUUUCAAGGAUUCCUUUUUGCUGUACGUAUCACAAGAAGAAAGAUCUGUCCUUCAGAAGGCUUUGGAGGACUUCAAUUCAGUGGACACAGAUGAAUUGCUGGAUGUACUCGAUGCACAUGAAUGCAAGCAAGUCCCUACCAAGGACACACUGCUCCCUGUUUUGUCACAGAUUGGACACAAAGUAAUCGUUCAGGCCCCAAUGUUUGUAAUUAAGUGCUGGCGUCCUGUUGUGGGUUCUAUGACUGGUUUACUACCACCAGAAGGACUGCAUCAUUUCAUUACACAAAAAAAAACCCAACUGCAAAAACAGUGAAGGAGCUUCUAAACUUUCCAGAGGAGAUGACAGCAGCCCAGUCAACAGUUUCUCAUUACCUGAAAAGGUACAUUGGGGAAAUUGAUAGCAACAAGCUUCAGCUUUUCCUGCGGUUUUGUACAGGAUCUGAUCUGUUGGAUAAGGCUAUACUAAUUGAGUUCAUAGAAACCACAGAUUUUCUCCGUAGACCACAAUACCACACAUGUGGAUGUGUACUAAAGCUGCCCAUUGGUUACUACAGCUAUCCAGAUUUCCACAGCGAAUUUAACAGCAUUCUCACAAGCUCAAUGUAGGUAAUGGAUGUGGUGUAGGUAAUAAUACAAACAAUAGCAUGAAGGAUGUGACAGCUCCUUGCUAGACUGGAUGUUUUUGUUAUGUAGCCCGUUGUUCCUUUUGUAUGUGCAGCAUUUUAAUUCAUCUGCUUUUAAAGUGGUCGAUUUGUUCUUUCCCAGUCAAAUGGUAAGCUUAAAGGGAUAGUUCAGUGGGGCUGUAGGAGAUACGUUUGCUUAGUCAGUGUAUUACCUGUAGUAGACAGCACUCAGCACUCUCCAGGUUUGUAGAAGCAGGGGGGAGUGCUGGGACAGAAGCAGAGCAAUACAUUGCUGGGCAUGGGGACAGCAACACAGCAACAAACAUAUUUUAGUCACCUAAAACAAGUCCCACCUCAAAAGAAUACACCAGGUUACCUGUACACUGUAUUAGGAAUAUUUUCAGUGCUUCACCUGGUGGGAAAACUGUUGUUUCCUUUGACACUAACCAUAAAACUCCCAUAUGUCUACGCCUAAAGUGCAUCUGUGCCUGAUGCACACUGUAUUACUCCGGUUAGUGCCAAAAGAAACGACUACUUUAUGAGCAGUCGUACAGCUCCACUUCAAAUACCAAAAGCCAAUUGAUUAAGCAUGUUUUAUAUUAUUAUUACAGUUGCUUGUAGCAACCCCAGUAGAAACAAGAAUGUGAGCCUUAGCUGAUGUUUCAAAGGUGUUGAAAAAUAAUUCAGUUGUUUACAGAAGUUGUUUACACUUUAAAGAAGUUUAAAUAACAUUAUUUUGUACCUAUCACUAUGAUACUGGCUAACGGGGGGUUUGAAAACUGUUCUUAUCCUGUUAUGUGCAAAAUACAACCUGUUAUAUUUUUGACUAGGGUGUAUUUU